rnacentral:misc_RNA from 1 species
GAAUUGCGAAAAGUAAUGUGAAUUGCAGAAUUCAGUGAAUCAUCGAAUCUUUGAACGCACCUUGCGCCUUUUGGUAUUCCGAAAGGCAUGCCUGUUUGAGUGUCAUGUAGACUCAACCCCCUGGGUUUCUGACCCGGCGGUGUUGGAUUUGGGCCCUGCCUCUCUGGCUGGCCUUAAAUGCGUUAGUGGUUUCACGCAGACGUCGUAAGUUACGCGUCGACUGUGGGCCGCUCACAACCCCCUUUACUUUUGCACUCUGGCCUCAAAUCAGGUAGGGCUACCCGCUGAACUUAA